CACUGGAGAAAGCUCUGAGAAGCAAGUGUUGAAAAGCAGGUGCUGCAGAAUUAGGGUUCUGCCAAGCUUUGAGAAACAAGAUUGCACCAACAGAUGUGUGGGGAUCGAGGGAAAACAAGUCUACAAGUUGAACAAGAGAACAGGCGCUGGUGGUGCCUCCAGCAGCUCAGUUUGCAGCUGAUCCUUCUCUGCCUCUCAGUGUGGCCCAUUAAGGCGGUGUGGCAUCUAGGAGUGGAAUCUGCAGCUAUUUAGGUAGAUGGCAGAAAUGGAAGGAAGGAUCAGGAUCCAAGUGAAUGAGUGGACAGCUGGCUACAGAGGAGAGACAGACUCUGUUUGAUCACCUUUUCCAGUAAGUACCCUUACAUUUCUAGGAUGAGACUUUCUAUAGUGCCUACUGUUGUGAUGCUGUCUUGUGUCAUCAGGUUGACUUCACUAGAGAGGAGCUCUAACUCUGCUUAUUUGGGCAACACUGCCAUAGAAACACGAACUCCUUUGGCUUAACUUGUUUGGUUUUGGGAGAAAUGGAAGUUGAUGGUUCUAGCUCCUUUUAUCCGAAGUGCUGCAUUCUGCCUGUAGUCCACUUCCAGUGGUGUGCACUUUCCAGCAGAACAAAGAACCAAUAUGGUUGUGCCUUGUACCUGUUUGAGGCUGCAGGGAAAUCUAUGCUGAAGGCGUUGCCACAUAAUUGAAUAAUGUGUCAUGUGUGGUUUCCUGUGCUGCAGAGCAGAAGAGGCCCUGGGGUCAGGAGAGCAAGAGUUCACCUGCUCUGUUCCAGCCUUGCUGAACUCAAGGAGGAGGGAGGAUGAGGAACCUGCUCACGUGCAGGGGUGACUCUUAGAGGCAUGCUGUGAUAUCGGUUAAAUGAGGUUUGACUUGACUUAUGGGAUGGAAAGGGUAUGAAGAAAGCACUGGAAAGCGUUGCCUAGUAUGUGGCAAGGAUGGCUUUUUUUUUUUCCUGAAAGUAAAGGAGAAAAUUCUUAUUUCAUGGGGACUUUUUACACGUUAAAAUAUCUUGCAUGCACACUAAUGGACUGUAAUAACGAGCCUAUGCUUUAUGAAGUGUCUACAAAUAUUGUUAAACUUGUUACUGUGAGGGACGUCAGUUAAUAUAUACUGGUUAACUGGAACAUGUUGGGCCAUCUGGUGCACAGCCAGGCUGAAAAUAGUUAACUGCCUACUGUAGGUAUCUGCAAGCUGACUCUCAGCUUUUGGAUGUAAAAUGCAGGCACAGACCCAGCAGGUGAGUGUGGGAGCUGCGAUGGCUGAGACCACUGCACAAUUAAUUUCACUGUAACAACCCUAGCAGGCCACUCUCCUAAGGAUAGCAUGGGAUGAUGAAUUUUAGAACCGAAGGUGUUCAUAAACAAAAGACAAGGGGAAAUUGUGUGCUUGGAAACUGGAAUGUGUUAGCAGGUUGGUUUAAAAACGUCCUGGGAGCAGGGCAGAUAAUGCUUGUGCUUCUAUGCAAGAAGGGGAAAAAGAAGCUAUCUUAUGUGUGUCUUCUUAUCUUCUCACCUCUGGCAAGUAUCAUGAGACAUGCCUGAUGUCCUUGGUUCAGAUGAUCUGUUCCUACCUAAUGCACCGUUAAUUUAGCUGUUUGCUUCUGAAUUCAGGACAGUCUUUCUACCUUUGGCACCUUUUGUAGUGUGCCAAACACAGUGGGGUCUCCCUGCUCAGCUGGCACAAUGGCUGCUGCCACAAACGCCGUGAGGAAUGCUAAAACUGAAAGUAACAGAGAGGUCAUGUGAAGAACAAAUGAUGCUGCUACUGGACAGUGCUGCCCCAUGGUCAUAAUCGACAGGUCUAAUCCCAAGUGUGUUUAGAGUCAGGUCCGCUGACUUCAGUAGCUAAAAUAAGUCAAUAUCAUUGAAUUCUCUUUCUCCUUGCGUAUCUUAGGGAGAGUACUGUAAGCUGUAGCCUGACAGCUGUGCAAUCUGCAGGAGGCCCACACGGCUGCAUAGGCUUCCCCAAGGCAUAAUUUGGCCUGCAGAACACUUAUUUCAGCCGAUGCUGUGUGUGGCAGGCUCAGCACUGACCUUCAGAACCAGGUAUGCUUUUGCGGGCCUGAUGAAGAACAGAAGUAGGAGACAAGGAUUUGAGGCCUGGAGUCCCUUCGAAGGGCAGAAGAUUGUGAUUAAAGCAAGAAGUCUGCGUAUAUGAAUUCAGAUCAGUAGGAGAUGGCAGAGGGAUGGAGCAGAGGAGAUGUUGGAAACAAGCUCUGUCUUAGAUUGCCAUAGAUUGGAAUGGGAAAAGAAACUGUUUCAAAGAAGUCCUUAACAAGUCAUUGUUUCCCAAGACUGUGCACUGAAUGUCUAAAUAACUGGGCUGGGGUUGGAAUAUUAGGAAGCUUCUCUUCAAGCAUCACAUGAGGCUUCGUGACUUGGCAGGAAAGCUACAUGUUGGGGGAGGCUGUAUUGCAGGGCCCUUGCUGUAAAUGGAUGUGGUUGAUGCUUCCUGUGCAAGCAGUGGGCUCACUGUGGAUGCUUGCCCUCUGUCUGCUCACAACAGCAGUUAAGAAUGCAAAGUGAGGGCGGUUUGGUAUUGUACUCUAGUAUUCCAGACUGAAAGAUCCAAGGCUGAUUCAGCUGUCCUCAUUACAGACGAUGUUCAGUGACUUUGACCAUCUUCACUGCUCUUCUGCCCUCUCUCCUUCUGACAAGAACUUCUGGUCGUGGUGCACAUCUGGGUUUUCCUCUCUUCAGUGUUCUUGAAACCCGACUUGUUAGAAGCUUGAAAGAGCCAUUUGGUUUGGGGCCCAGGCCUUUUGUUUCAGUGCUGUGUUUAUCACCCUGGAAAAGAGGCCAGGAAUUUUGUGUGCUCCACAUAAUAAUAAGCCAUAGAUAUAUAUAUUUUUUUCUAAAAGGCAGAAAUUUGUGCCUAAUCUAAAGACUGUAUCAGAAAGGCUAUGGCUAAACCUGAUGCAUUCCAGUGCACUGAGUCACUAGGACAAUAUAGUAUUUAACAAAGAGCCCUGGCAGAUAUUGUGUGCCUUUGUGCUGAUGCUGUCAGACGGGAUAUAUGACAUAUCUUUGUAUCCUGCAGCAAUUUCAGGAAACUAAAUGGCUGUUAGCAUGCACUGCCUCUUCUAAACGGGGACACAAAGCGCUUCAGAUGUUAAAGCUUCUCCCACCCUCCAUUGGUUAAGAGGGGAAAUUGUAUCAAAAAAAAAAAAAAAAAAGAAUAGCUCUUAUGUGGAAAAACAUAGAGCUGUGUCAUCAAACAGGUACUAAUUCUGCCAGGAAGAGACAUGCUCCUCCAUCCCCUCUGCUUUGCAUAAGUGCUGUUUAUUUUAUUAGUACUGUGGCUUCCCAAAAGUAGGACUGAAAUACAGCACGACUAAAAUCUUAGCGUUGUAGUCCCAGGUCUGCAGUGAUGGUCUGCAGACUGACAUACCCGGGCUGGGCCAGCUCUGUGGUUUUGUAUUUCAGCCCUGACUCACGUGCAUGGCUUUUGUGCUACUCUAAGGUGAAUCACAGCUCCUGCAAGUGUGGUUAAGGUCCUGCCCUGUGGCCAGGCUGAGAAGCCAGGUUCUCAAGUCACAGUUUUCUUCCUCAGCACUGAGUCACAGCUCUGAGACCCAUCUAGAGAAUUUCAGGUAUAGUUUAGUAAGAUAGUAAAUGGAGAGUAAUUUUUAAUGUGGUUGGGAUCCAAACAGCCAAAUAACUGUAGGAUUCAAGGUUAUUUUUGGCUGGGCAGUCCUUACAGGGUGCAAAUGUGCCAGAUGUUGAUCCCUACAAGAGAUCAGCUCUUCCUGGACAGCACUGGAACACUCUCCAUUUAUUUGUCCUGGUGUAGUACACUGACUGAACAAUAUGGCCAGCAUGGCAAGGGCUUGUAAAAUGCUGAGAUAAGUGUUGGACUUCUGCUUUGCACAGGAAAGAAGCUCAUGCUGGAGAAAGGGCAUAUAGUUUUAGUACUCAUUUUGCUUGGAGCAAGGGAUGGUUUGGUGCCCUUGUUGGGAUCCCUGCUCUGAAUGGGGAACUCAAAGAAGCCAACUUACACCAUUGAACUUUGGGCUUGAGGCUGCAUGGGACAAUGCUGUAAUGGUGGAGUGGUAACAGGGAGCCUUUGUAACACAGUGACAAAGCCAGCUGUAUGUGCCCAAGUGCUCCUGCUUGCUAAGCCUGUAAUAUCAGUCCCAGUUCUGUUCUCCUUCUUUCCCCUCCAGGAAUUGGUUUGUACUUAGGUAGAAUAAGUCACUGUUUGUGUGUUUACUUCUUUUCUGCUUACAGUUCUCAUUGAAUCCCACAGUGGGUAAGAGGGGGAAAGCUCAAGUGAGGCUAAAAUCAUCAUGCUUUAUGCAGAUUUGCAAUUCUCCAUCCUGUGUUAGGUUUUUUUUAUCAGUGUUAAAUAACAAAGUUCAGCUAUUCCCCAGCUGAUCUUCUCCAGGCUCUUUCCUGGGCUUAUUGCUGAGCUGCUCCCGGGGCAGUGUCUGAGCAGGUUCUGCAGCCAUAUUUGCCGUGCUGUCUCUGCUACAGGUACAAGCUGUAGAACAGUUUCUUCCUGCUCCUCUUAUGCCUCCAUCCUAAAAGGAGAAAUAUACAGAAUAUACAGAGAUAUCAUUCAGGAUUUCUGUUGGAAGCAGGGAUAAAACUUUUCCUGACACUCUUGAAGUAGCAAGGAGAAAUGGUCAGAAGGUUGCCAAGCUGAGAGCUGCUGUUGAGGUGGAGGAUGUUCACUGUGAGAGGCCAUAUUCUGCAGCCUGUACUCCAUACUGAUCCACAGGCAUGGUUUGGGGCAGCUUUUCCCUGAAGGUGAGCUCUGGAGAUACCAGUGGCUGAUGAGAAGCCACUGUGUGCCUGAGAGGCCAGCUAGCAGCUGUGCAGGGGUGGUCUUGCAGAGGAGAGCUGGAGUGCAUGAGCAUGGAUAACUGUGGGAUGACAUGAGGCUUUCCCUGCAAACUGAAGAAUAGCUUGGCUAUGGCCUGCAUCCUGACCAGGUGAAUCAGUCCAGAUUACCUCCAGAUUUGCCAGAAGGAUGUUUCAUAUGGACAAUAGAUGAUCUUGAAUGCUGUAUGGAGGCCAAGGAGCUGACCCAGCAGUGGAUCCUCCUUGUAGUCAGAUGGUUGCUUUGUUCUGUUGUCUUCCAUCAAGCACCCCAGGUACUGUAGCAGUGACAUACGGCUCUUUGGCUUCAAUCAGUGCCUCCUGAGUGCACUAUUACUCAUGUAUCCAAGACUGAUUGGAGGUAAUUCAUGUAUGUGUGGACUUCGGCACCUGGGACCGGAGUGGUGUUGCAGACUGUUAAUAAGAAUACUUGAAAGUGCAGAACCUGAAAACAGAUGAUAACUUGCGUGUGAUAGGAAAAUGUUCCAGUGGUUAUUUAAUAACAAAGCUAUUUCAAAGUGGUUAAAGAAGUAUUAAAGGGGCUCUCCAGGAGUCUCACAUUACUAUAGUAACAACAGGGAGGCAGGGAACAAGUUAAAUAAUGUUUGCCAGUAGCACUAAUUUGCUUCUGUGAGUAAAAUCUAUGGACAGCUGGAGGUAAACACUUCAUGAAUAGCCUCCGACUUGAUGAAAGAUUGAGUAGUGAAGUUUCAGUUUGGAUAAAAGUACAUCAUCUCAUGAUGUCAGCUGGAGCCAUUGCUACUCUGCAGGUUUGCAGGGAAGUUUGGAGAAAGGCCCCUAGGAAUGACUGGGGAAGCACGAGUGAAAUCCUCCUCCUUUUGUGUGACUGAGGAUGUUUCCAGUGCAGUUUGAUCACAGAAGGCCUCAAUAUGAAAAGGAUUUACUUUGUGGAAUUGUUCUGUCAUUACUCAGCAGGAUAAUUGACUUCUGAUUAGGAAGAAAAUAAAGCUGAAUGUGUGUGUUUGAGGUUAUAAAGUCCUCUUCAAAAGGCAGAGCUCUUACUUAAACAGCGACAGCUCAGACAAGAACAGGAUGCUUGCGACUCCUUUAUGCUGGCAUUGAUGUAACAGCUGUUGUUGUUUAAACAACUUGUUUCUCCAUUCUUCAUGCUCCUUCCUCCUCCUGUUGUAAAUCAAAGGAAGAAGAGUGGGAAUCAGUUUUGUUAUCUUUGAAAAAUUUAAUAACCUUGUCUUUUUAUCUUUUGGAAAUGGUUUUGUCUUAUGAAUCAUAGAAUCAUAGAAUGGCCUGGGUUGAAAAGGACCACAAUGACCAUCUGGUUUCAACCCCCUGCUAUGUGCAGGGUCGCCAACCAGCAGACCAGGCUGCCCAGAGCCACAUCCAGCCUGGCCUUGAAUGCCUCCAGGGAUGGGGCAUCCACAGCCUCCUUGGGCAACCUGUUCAGUGCGUCACCACCCUCUGGGUGGAAAAACUUCCUCUCAAUAACCAACCUAAAUCACUUCUGUCUUAGUUUAAAACCAUUCCCCCCAUCCUAUCACUAUCCACCCUUGUGGGACUCAGACCCACUGCUGUCGGGGUGCUGAUGGCUGGAAAAUAGUGAUUUCUUUCUGACCCUUUUUCUGACACUACCUCCAAAGUGGCACAGGAACUAAAAGCAAGCCUAGGCCAGCCUUUCUGCUGCCUACAGGGAGUUCAGGUGUGGAGGAGGUGGGCAUCUCACUGUGGAGAUGAUGCUUAAAGUUUUAGAAGAAAUCUUGGCUUAUGGAGGUGAGCAAGGGUCUGUCUUUUCUCACUGUAACUAUUAUCAUUGAAUCAUUUGAGUUGGAAGGGACCUUUAAAGGCCAUCUGGUCCAACACCCCUGAAAUGGACAGGGACACCCACAGCUCCAUCCGUGCUCAGAGCCCCGUCCAGCCUGACUUUGGAUGUCUGCAGAGAUGGGGCACCCACCGCUCUCUGGGCAACCUGUGCCAGUGCCUCACCACCCUUACUGUAAAAAAGCUUCUCCUUAUAUCCAAUCUAAAUCUUUGCUGUUUUAUUUUGAAAUGAUUUCCUCUCACCCCAUCAGAGCAGACGCUGCUAAGGAGUCUGUGCCCUUCUUUCUUGUUGCCCCCCUUUAGAUUACUGGCCUGAAAUUUCAUUUCUGCUUCUGUGAGCAAGCUUCAGCCUUGGACCUGUUUUAGACAGUGCUGCAGGAAAAAAUUACCUGGAAACUUGAAUCUUUAAUAAUCAUCACUGAAGAGCCAGGUUAUGACCCUGCCUGCUAGUAUUUCCACUUCUGAAAAGAGACAGGAUGUGGGUGGCUGAUCUGGAAUGGGUUCAGUGGCAUUGCACAGGGCCUCAACCCUCUGUGCCAACGUCCAGCUGUGGCUGCUGCUCUGGAUGAUGCAGAUCUUACAGGUGUACUUCAAGUCUUAUGAGAGUACUUUCAGAAUAGAGCUCUGAGUUGGGAGAAAUGGAAGAUGAAUGCAUUGCUGCAUUGAAACUGCCCCUAAGGAGGGGAAAACGCACUUCUUCCCUUUCGUCCUGAAUCCUCUGCUUCAUCAUGUGCUGAUCCAGCUGCUCUUUCCCUGUAGACAGAUUUAGUGUCCUUUUAAUUCUGCCUAAAGCCCUCACUGUGAGGCGUUGCAGAGCUGAUUCCUUUGAGGGGGAAAAGGAAGCCUGCCUUAGGUCUCUGGGGAACUAAUUUGUGCCAAUACUCUUGGGUUUGCCAUUCAAGUGUAUCUUUGUUGCUAUAUGCUUCUGCCUUUGAGAUGCAGAGUGAGGUGGUUCAUCAGGUCUGCUGAUGGCUGUGGGACUGUAAACACAGUUCUUGAUCUUUUGCAUGAUGGAGCAGGGGGGAUUUUGUAUCAGAAACAGUGUAGCCUGCAGGAAUGGUAACAGUUCAUCUGUACUCUGUACUGGUGGGAUUGAGUACUGUGCUCUGUUCGGGGCCCCUCACUACAAGAAAGACAUUGAGGUCCUGGAGUGUGUCCGGAGAAGGGCAGUGAAGCUGUGAAGGGUCUGGAGCACAGGUGUUAUGGGGGAGCAGCUGAGGGGGCUGGGAUGGGUCAGUCUGGAGAAGAGGAGCUCAGGGGAGACCUCAUUGCUCCCUGCAUCUCCCUGAAAGGAGGCUGUGAUGAGGUGGGGAAUGGCCUCUGCUCCUGGGUAACAGUGAUAGGAUGAGACAUGUUCGCCUCAAAUUGUGCCAGUGGAGGCUCAGGUUGGAUGUUAGGAAACGUUUCUGCUCUCAAAGGGUGGUGAUGCAGUGGCACAGCUGCCCAGGGAGAAGUGAUGCGUGGGGCAACCAUCAGAAAAGCAGUGCUUUUGUAUUAUGGUGCUUUCCCAAAUCAAGUUGCUCCCCUGGAAAUAGUUGUGUUUGCUUACAGCCACCUUGCUUCAAAAAUGUGCAGGAAUUGUGGGCACGUUGUUUCUGCAGCAUACGCUCUGUGAUGUUUUCUGUGCUAGAGCCAGCUUGGAAAAUGAAUGAAAAAAGAAAUGUUUUGCUCAUUCUUGCUGGAUACUUAAUGGAGCUCAUUGGCAGCAGUGUUCCUUCCCCAGGGAUCUUUCUAGAGUCAUUAGGCUCAGUGAAGGAUGAUCUGGAAGAGUCUGCUUGUAAGAAACUGCUGCUUCUCUGAAGUGUGAAACGUUUCCUGGCUAUAGGAGCUGUCAGCCACCCCUGAGCAGCUGCAAAGAGAUAACAGAGGAGCUGGGAAGGGCAGAUUGAGAGGUUAGUACCUCUAUCCGUAAAUAAAUAAUAACACAUAGGGGCAAAAAAUCCUUCAACUUCAAGGAUAGUGCUACACCUGCAAAGAGAGGAGGGCAGGAAUUUGCUGCUUUUCUGCUCAGCUGGGCUGCCCUUUGGGAAACAGGCAUUUUCAAGAAGGAUUUUGAUGCAAUUUCCAGGUGUGACUGUGAUAAUGUUUUCAGUGCAGCAUUUUGAGGGAGAAACCUUUACUGAACAUAACCUUGGGCAAGAUUUAAAAAAAAAUCAAGGGUGAUAGGAAGUGAUAAAAGAGUUGGCAGUCACGCAACUAUGGAUAUGUGUGGGAAGGCCAAAAAUGUGCUCUGUUUCUUAUCAUAAAGAAGGAAACAACUCUGGUAUCAGGAAAGUAGAAGGCUGCCCUCUGACGGCUCCUGUCCUCCCGAGUGUCAGCCCAAGCACAGCUGUAUGUUGUGUUGCAGGGUCCUCACAGGGAGGUGGAUGUCCCAAAUGAGCUCCAAAGCCACGAGCAUUCGUUGGAAGGACCCCAGAACAGCAGCCAGGUACAGUCAGUCCAGCUGCAUCACAUUGCAUUGUGUUAAAACAGGGCAGCAGUUCUUGCCUGGAGGUGCCUUGAUUGGAAGGUGUCAUCAAGAUGAGGUGUACUGCGAAUAAAUAGAUUUCUGCAGGACUUGUUUGGUGUGCAGUGGAUGCAUUUAAUAAUGUCAUAGUAUUUACUCAUUUAUCUAGAAGCCAAGGGCAUAGGUGAAAUUUCGAGCCCCCCCCCAAAAUUGACUCUUAUCACUAAAAAUGUGGUUGAGAUGCAUUAUUUUAACUCCUGUGUUACCUCCAUCCUCAGUGAGCAGAUUGGAGAAGCAGCAGUGAGCUGUAUGGCAAAGGAAACAACCUGCAGCAUGGGAAGAGCCAGGGCUGAGUCUGGGUGCAGUGACCAUAUCCGGGUCCCCACAGGGGCGGGGGGUCAGAGCAGGUCUAACCAAUUGCAGCUGCAAACAUCUGCUGGUCCCACCCCAGAACUUUUCUCCUCACAGUGCCAGAUUGUAACAGCACGUGUAAUGCCGGCAUUACACCACUGGCUGUUUGCUUCUUUGGCCAGGUUUCAGAUUUGCUUGGUGUUAGGCACUGCCUUGGCCUUGGAUUGGCAGAGAGUAGGUAGUCAGUGUCCCACACAGUAGCCACUAAGCUGACUUCUCG
ensembl:lncRNA